rnacentral:rRNA from 1 species
CAAGUCGAGCGAACAGAAGGGAGCUUGCUCCCGGAUGUUAGCGGCGGACGGGUGAGUAACACGUGGGUAACCUGCCUGUAAGACUGGGAUAACUCCGGGAAACCGGAGCUAAUACCGGAUAGUUCCUUGAACCGCAUGGUUCAAGGAUGAAAGACGGUUUCGGCUGUCACUUACAGAUGGACCCGCGGCGCAUUAGCUAGUUGGUGGGGUAAUGGCUCACCAAGGCGACGAUGCGUAGCCGACCUGAGAGGGUGAUCGGCCACACUGGGACUGAGACACGGCCCAGACUCCUACGGGAGGCAGCAGUAGGGAAUCUUCCGCAAUGGACGAAAGUCUGACGGAGCAACGCCGCGUGAGUGAUGAAGGUUUUCGGAUCGUAAAGCUCUGUUGUUAGGGAAGAACAAGUGCGAGAGUAACUGCUCGCACCUUGACGGUACCUAACCAGAAAGCCACGGCUAACUACGUGCCAGCAGCCGCGGUAAUACGUAGGUGGCAAGCGUUGUCCGGAAUUAUUGGGCGUAAAGGGCUCGCAGGCGGUUUCUUAAGUCUGAUGUGAAAGCCCCCGGCUCAACCGGGGAGGGUCAUUGGAAACUGGGAAACUUGAGUGCAAAAGAGGAGAGUGGAAUUCCACGUGUAGCGGUGAAAUGCGUAGAGAUGUGGAGGAACACCAGUGGCGAAGGCGACUCUCUGGUCUGUAACUGACGCUGAGGAGCGAAAGCGUGGGGAGCGAACAGGAUUAGAUACCCUGGUAGUCCACGCCGUAAACGAUGAGUGCGUAAGUGUUAGGGGGUUUCCGCCCCUUAGUGCUGCAGCUAACGCAUUAAGCACUCCGCCUGGGGAGUACGGU